CGUGGAGGAAGACAGCCUUCGGUUGUAACUCGUUUGCGUCUGACAAUCAUGAUGGUAGGGCGCGAAUAAGUCACGGCUAACUACGUGU
rnacentral:rRNA from 1 species